rnacentral:lncRNA from 1 species
GAAAAUAUAGAAUAUUUUGCAUGGUAUUUCCUGAGUGUUAAAAAAUUGCUGCGAUAAUUGGUAAAAUCUUUGUACUUUAAGAAGCACUUGGCAAUAUAUGUGAAAGAGGGACGAAAGAUACCAAAGGGACAGUCAAACUCAUAAAUCUAAAAAAAACCUGACAACGCCAUGGCUAAAAAUGAAAAAGACAAACAACAGCACACAUGACACAACAUAGAAAACUAAAGAAUAAACAACA